rnacentral:rRNA from 1 species
GACGAACGCUGGCGGCGUGCUUAACACAUGCAAGUCGAACGGAAAGGCCCCUUUGGGGGUACUCGAGUGGCGAACGGGUGAGUAACACGUGAGUAACCUGCCCUUGACUUCGGGAUAACUUCAGGAAACUGGGGCUAAUACCGGAUAGGAAUCCUUGCUGCAUGGUGGGGGUUGGAAAGCUUCGGCGGUUUUGGAUGGACUCGCGGCUUAUCAGCUUGUUGGUGGGGUAGUGGCUUACCAAGGCUUUGACGGGUAGCCGGCCUGCGAGGGCGACCGGCCACAUUGGGACUGAGAUACGGCCCAGACUCCUACGGGAGGCAGCAGUGGGGAAUAUUGCACAAUGGGCGGAAGCCGGAUGCAGCAACGCCGCGUGCGGGAUGACGGCCUUCGGGUUGUAGACCGCUUUCAGCAGGAGCGAAGCUUGUGGUGACGGUACCUGCAGAAGAAGCACCGGCUAACUACGUG